rnacentral:miRNA from 1 species
GGGGGGGGGGGCGAAUAUUCAUAUCUUUGUGUUCUGCAUUAUUAACUUCUUUUUGAAAUUGAUUGUUUUUAUGCUCUGUGAACACAAAUAUAUGAAUAUUCGCCCCCCCCCCCCAAUUAU